CCUGCCCGGUGGUUCCGGCCUCUGGCGCCUGGAUGUUUCUAGAGAACAACUUUUUAUUUACAAGUCUGUGAGGCUCUCGGCUGUUUCGCGGCCUCUGGGUUUCGUUGGGAUCUCGCCGGCCCUCCAGCCCACAUUCUUGGAUUCCAGGAAAACCAAAGGAACAAACAUCAUGGACAGAAAUAUUUAGGAAAUGCUAUUAUGCAGAAGCAUCACUUGUUUCAGAAGUCCAGUAUCUGGUACACUUAACACUAGAGCGACUGUUUAUUUCCAAAGUCACCCAAGUUUUAUUCAUGCUGAUGAUGUGGUUUUGUUUGUAAUAAAUAUUACAACCGGUUUCUGAACAUAG